UACAGAGGUCUCAAGCGUUGUUCGGAAUCACUGGGCGUAAAGCGCGCGUAGGCGGCUUGUCAAGUCAGGGGUGAAAUCCCACGGCUCAACCGUGGAACUGCCUUUGAAACUGUCAGGCUAGAGUGUCGGAGGGGAUAGCGGAAUUGCUAAUGUAGAGGUGAAAUUCGUAGAUAUUAGCAGGAACACCGGUGGCGAAGGCGGCUAUCUGGACGACAACUGACGCUGAGGCGCGAAAGCGUGGGGAUCAAACAGG
rnacentral:rRNA from 1 species